UGCUUUACACAUGCAAGUCGAACGGUAACGCGGGGGCAACCCUGGCGACGAGUGGCGAACGGGUGAGUAAUACAUCGGAACAUGUCCUGGAGUGGGGGAUAGCUCGGCGAAAGCCGGAUUAAUACCGCAUACGCUCUGAGGAGGAAAGCGGGGGACUCGUAAGGGCCUCGCGCUGCGGGAGUGGCCGAUGUCGGAUUAGCUAGUUGGUGAGGUAAAGGCUCACCAAGGCGACGAUCCGUAGCUGGUCUGAGAGGAUGAUCAGCCACACUGGGACUGAGACACGGCCCAGACUCCUACGGGAGGCAGCAGUGGGGAAUUUUGGACAAUGGGGGCAACCCUGAUCCAGCCAUGCCGCGUGAGUGAAGAAGGCCUUCGGGUUGUAAAGCUC
rnacentral:rRNA from 1 species